ensembl:ncRNA F02G3.2 ncRNA
AGAGAAUUAGAGGAAGGAUUUUAAAAGAAUUAUUUGGGAAUUGCAGGGCUUGGAAGAAGAAUAAUGAGUCUUUCAAGAAAAAUGAAAAAGGAAUGAAUGAAAUUUUAAGUUGAUUUUUCAGAGCGUUCCAAGCAGCAACUGAAGGUAUACCAAAAUGUUGGUUUUUUUUUUGCCAGAUUCAAAUCUAACAUAAGCCUAUUUUCCUUAGCUACAAAAUU